AGUGAACGCUGGCGGUAGGCCUAACACAUGCAAGUCGAACGGCAGCACAGUAAGAGCUUGCUCUUACGGGUGGCGAGUGGCGGACGAGUGAGGAAUACAUCGGAAUCUACUUUUUCGUGGGGGAUAACGUAGGGAAACUUACGCUAAUACCGCAUACGACCUACGGGUGAAAGCAGGGGAUCUUCGGACCUUGCGCGAUUGAAUGAGCCGAUGUCGGAUUAGCUAGUUGGCGGGGUAAAGGCCCACCAAGGCGACGAUCCGUAGCUGGUCUGAGAGGAUGACCAGCCAAACUGGAAUUGAGAACCGGCCCAGCACCCAAAGGGAGGCAGGAGGGGGGAAUUUUGGAAAAGGGGGGCAAGCCGGACCCAGCCAUACCGCGUGGGUGAAGAAGGCCUUCGGGUUGUAAACCCCUUUUGUUGGGAAAAAAAAGCAGCAGGUUAAUACCCCGCUGUUCUGCCGGUACCAAAAGAAUAAGCACCGGCUAACUUCGU
rnacentral:rRNA from 1 species